rnacentral:rRNA from 2 species
UCUUAAGGGCAUUCGGUGGAUGCCUUGGCGACAAGAGGCGAUGAAGGACGUGAUACGCUGCGAUAAGCGUCGGGGAGCUGCGAAUAAGCUUUGAUCCGGCGAUUUCCGAAUGGGGAAACCCACUCCGUAUGGAGUACCCGCAAGGGAGCAAACCCGGGGAACUGAAACAUCUAAGUACCCGGAGGAAAGGACAUCAACCGAGACUCCGCUAGUAGUGGCGAGCGAACGCGGACCAGGCCAGUGGCUAUAGGAUAAGAACCGGAACCGUCUGGAAAGUCGGGCCUUAGUGGGUGACAGCCCCUUACGGGUAGAAAUUCUUAUAGUCCUUGAGUAGGGCGGGACACGUGAAAUCCUGUCUGAACAUGGGGGGACCACCCUCCAAGCCUAAGUACUCCUUGUCGACCGAUAGCGAACAAGUACCGUGAGGGAAAGGUGAAAAGCACCCCGACGAGGGGAGUGAAACAGAUCCUGAAACCGGAUGCCUACAAACAGUUGGAGGGCGCAAGCCUGACAGCGUACCUUUUGUAUAAUGGGUCAGCGACUUAAUUUAACGAGCAAGCUUAAGCCGAUAGGUGUAGGCGUAGCGAAAGCGAGUCUGAACAGGGCGUUUUAGUUCGUUGGAUUAGACCCGAAACCGAGUGAUCUAGCCAUGGCCAGGUUGAAGGUGCGGUAACACGCACUGGAGGACCGAACCCACGCCUGUUGAAAAAGUCGGGGAUGAGCUGUGGCUAGGGGUGAAAGGCCAAUCAAACUCGGAAAUAGCUGGUUCUCCGCGAAAUCUAUUUAGGUAGAGCGUCGGAUGAAUACUCUCGGGGGUAGAGCACUGGAUGGGCUAUGGGGGCUUACCGCCUUACUGAUCCUAACCAAACUCCGAAUACCGAGAAGUACUAUCCGGCAGACACACAGUGGGUGCUAACGUCCAUUGUGGAGAGGGAAACAACCCUGACCGCCAGUUAAGGUCCCUAAGUUAUGGCUAAGUGGGAAAGGAUGUAGGACUCCCAAAACAACCAGGAUGUUGGCUUAGAAGCAGCCAUCAUUUAAAGAAAGCGUAACAGCUCACUGGUCUAAAUAAGGGGUCCCGCGCCGAAAAUGUACCGGGGCUCAAGCCAUACACCGAAACUGCGGGUGCAUCUUAUGAUGCGCGGUAGCGGAGCGUUCUGUAAGUCUGCGAAGGGAUACCUGUGAGGGGUCCUGGAGAUAUCAGAAGUGCGAAUGCUGACAUGAGUAACGAUAAAGCGGGUGAGAGACCCGCUCGCCGAAAGUCCAAGGGUUCCUGCGCAACGCUAAUCGGCGCAGGGUUAGCCGGCCCCUAAGGCGAGGCCGAAAGGCGUAGUCGAUGGGAAUGCAGUUAAUAUUCUGCAGCUUGGUGGUAGU